rnacentral:rRNA from 1 species
AAACCAACAGGGAUUGCCUCAGUAACGGCGAGUGAAGCGGCAACAGCUCAGAUUUGAAAUCGGCCCACCGGUCGAGUUGUAAUCUGUAGAGGAUGCUUCGGGGCAGCGGCCGGUCUAUGUCCCUUGGAACAGGGCGUCACAGAGGGUGAGAAUCCCGUACGUGACCGGCGCGCACCCCACACGUAGCUCCUUCGACGAGUCGAGUUGUUUGGGAAUGCAGCUCUAAAUGGGAGGUAAAUUUCUUCUAAAGCUAAUACCGGCCAGAGACCGAUAGCGCACAAGUAGAGUGAUCGAAAGAUGAAAAGCACUUUGGAAAGAGAGUUAAAAAGCACGUGAAAUUGUUGAAAGGGAAGCGCCCGCUACCAGACUCGUCGGCGGUGUUCCGCCGGUCUUCUGACCGGUCUACUCAUCGUCGACGGGCCAACAUCGUCUGGGGCCGCUGGAUAAGACCGUGGGAAUGUAGCUCCUCGGAGUGUUAUAGCCCGCGGUGAUGCAGCGAGUCCCGGGCGAGGUCUGCG